AGUGAACGCUGGCGGUAGGCCUAACACAUGCAAGUCGAACGGCAGCACAGUAAGAGCUUGCUCUUACGGGUGGCGAGUGGCGGACGGGUGAGGAAUACAUCGGAAUCUACUUUUUCGUGGGGGAUAACGUAGGGAAACUUACGCUAAUACCGCAUACGACCUACGGGUGAAAGCAGGGGAUCUUCGGACCUUGCGCGAUUGAAUGAGCCGAUGUCGGAUUAGCUAGUUGGCGGGGUAAAGGCCCACCAAGGCGACGAUCCGUAGCUGGUCUGAGGGGAUGAUCAGCCACACGGGAACGGAGACACGGUCCAGACUCCUACGGGAGGCAGCAGUGGGGAAUAUUGGACAAUGGGCGAAAGCCUGAUCCAGCCAUACCGCGUGGGUGAAGAAGGCCUUCGGGUUGUAAAGCCCUUUUGUUGGGAAAGAAAAGCAGCAGGUUAAUACCCCGCUGUUCUGACGGUACCCAAAGAAUAAGCACCGGCUAAUUUCGU
rnacentral:rRNA from 1 species